UUUGUUCACCUCACACAUUUUAAGACGUGAUAUUCAUAUUCAUUUUACAAUGAUAAUGGCUUCAACUACAAUUAUUUAUACGAUUGUGCUUUACCUGGGAUUCGUUAAAGCAGAGAGAAAAUGGUACGACUUUCAUUCUAAAAUGCCGCUGCCUGUCAUAGGUCCUGUACUUUAAUACCUUAGUGAUCCAAUAAAAUGCUUGACUAAUGAUCUUUGUGCGUU